ensembl:snoRNA small nucleolar RNA SNORD38
UUUCCAUGAUGAUAACUUUGUCCAGUUCUGCUACUGAGUGCAAGUGGUGAUAACGAAGACCCUGAGAAA